rnacentral:rRNA from 1 species
UACGUAGGGGGGCAAGCGUUGUCCGGAAUUAUUGGGCGUAAAGCGCGCGCAGGCGGUUCUUUAAGUCUUGUGUCUAAUGCCGUGGCUCAACCACGGUCCGCAUGGGAAACUGGGGGACUGGAGUGCAGGAGAGGAAAGUGGAAUUCCACGUGUAGCGGUGAAAUGCGCAGAGAUCGGGAGGAACACCCGUAGCGAAGGCGGCGCUCUGGGCCGGUGACUGACGCUGAGGAGCGAAAGCGUGGGGAGCAAACAGG